UACGUAGGGUGCAAGCGUUGUCCGGAAUUAUUGGGCGUAAAGAGCUCGUAGGCGGUUUGUUGCGUCGGCUGUGAAAUCCCGAGGCUCAACCUCGGGUCUGCAGUCGAUACGAGCAAACUAGAGUGUUGCAGGGGAGACUGGAAUUCCUGGUGUAGCGGUGAAAUGCGUAGAUAUCAGGAGGAACACCGGUGGCGAAGGCGGCCCUCUGGACGAAUACUGACGCUGAGACGCGAAAGCGUGGGGAGCAAACAGG
rnacentral:rRNA from 1 species